rfam:Puccinia graminis f. sp. tritici CRL 75-36-700-3 supercont2.30 genomic scaffold, whole genome shotgun sequence.
GGUCGAUUAGCUCAGUUGGUUAGAGCGCCGUACUAAUACUUGCGCCGGACCGGUUAGAAGCCGGCCUGGUCGAGGUACAUGCGGAUGUCAUGGGUUCGACCCCCAUAUUGACCA